GGGCGUGUGUAGUCGGUAGCGCGCUCCCUUAGCAUGGGAGAGGUCUCCGGUUCGAUUCCGGACUCGUCCA
rnacentral:tRNA from 1 species